GAUGAAGAACGUAGCGAAAUGCGAUAAGUAAUGUGAAUUGCAGAAUUCAGUGAAUCAUCGAAUCUUUGAACGCACAUUGCGCCCCUUGGUAUUCCGAGGGGCAUGCCUGUUCGAGCGUCAUUAUAACCCUCAAGCUCAGCUUGGUGUUGGGGCCUGCUGCACUGGCAGCCCUUAAAAUCAGUGGCGGCGCCAUCUGGCUCUAAGCGUAGUUAUUCUUCUCGCUAUGGAGUCCUGGUGGAUGCUUGCCAUCAACCCCCAAUUUUUCUAUGGUUGACCUCGGAUCAGGUAGGGAUACCCGCUGAACUUAAGCAUAUCAAUAAGCGGAGGA
rnacentral:misc_RNA from 1 species